rnacentral:rRNA from 1 species
CGGUUAAACCAAGAUGAUCAAGUCAUAUAACUUCGGUGAAAAAACAGUUAAAUUAAAUUCAUGUUUAUAAAAUGUCUAUAGAAAAGUAAAAUUUGGUCAUAGACAAGAAAUCUAGCUUAAACUUAAAUAUUGAAGCUGUGAAAGCCUCGAGGGAAACUGGGAUUAGAUACCCCAUUAUUCUUGGAUGUAAACUGAUUUUUAUCUACCAGAGUACUAUGAAUUAAAUAUUUAAAACUUAAAGGGCUUGGCGGUGUUUUAGACCUCUCAGGGGAACCUGUCUCAUAAUCGACAAUCCACGCUAAACCUAACCCUUUUUUGUAUACCAGCUUGUAUACCGUCGUCGUCAGGUAACUUUUUAGAAAAAAGAAGUUAGCAAAAAAAUAAAAUGGGUUUUCACGUCAGAUCAAGGUGCAGCUAAUAAAAGGGGGAGGAUGGGUUACAAUUAUAAAAUCGUAAUAACGGAAAGUUGUUUGGAACAAAAACAAGAAGGAGGACUUGAAAGUAAGAUAAAAUAUAUAAAUGUUCUGAAUAAGGCUCUGAAACGUGCACACAUCGCCC